AGAGUUUGAUCCUGGCUCAGAUUGAACGCUGGCGGAAUGCUUUACACAUGCAAGUCGAGCGGCAGCACGGGGGCAACCCUGGUGGCGAGUGGCGAACGGGUGAGUAAUACAUCGGAACGUGCCCAGUCGUGGGGGAUAACGCAGCGAAAGCUGUGCUAAUACCGCAUACGAUCUACGGAUGAAAGCGGGGGACUCGCAAGGGCCUCGCGCGAUUGGAGCGGCCGAUGGCAGAUUAGGUAGUUGGUGGGGUAAAGGCUCACCAAGCCUGCGAUCUGUAGCUGGUCUGAGAGGACGACCAGCCACACUGGGACUGAGACACGGCCCAGACUCCUACGGGAGGCAGCAGUGGGGAAUUUUGGACAAUGGGCGCAAGCCUGAUCCAGCCAUUCCGCGUGCAGGAUGAAGGCCUU
rnacentral:rRNA from 1 species